rnacentral:rRNA from 1 species
CAGCCGCCGCGGUAAUACGUAGGUGGCAAGCGUUGUCCGGAAUUAUUGGGCGUAAAGGGCUCGCAGGCGGUUUCUUAAGUCUGAUGUGAAAGCCCCCGGCUCAACCGGGGAGGGUCAUUGGAAACUGGGAAACUUGAGUGCAGAAGAGGAGAGUGGAAUUCCACGUGUAGCGGUGAAAUGCGUAGAGAUGUGGAGGAACACCAGUGGCGAAGGCGACUCUCUGGUCUGUAACUGUCGCUGAGGAGCGAAAGCGUGGGGAGCGAACAGGAUUAGAUACCCCCGUAGUCCCUGUCUCUUAUAC